CCCUAAAUCACAUAGAUCAAAUCCCUAAACACUUGUCAUCAUCGAAUCCCUAAAUCCCUGCGACUCCACCAUCCCUCUACAUCUCCUCCCCACCCCAAAGGCCCCGAUCUUAACUUAUCGAAUCAGUUGGCGCACUCACGCUUUGGGUCACUACGAAAGAAAGAAACAAGGUUUAGGGAUAGUGAAUUUAUCUGCGACAGUCUCAUGCUUCAGCAAGGUUGGACUGCGGACUCUGUGUCCAGGAUGCUUACUGUGAAGAAGCAACCUGUUGUGACAGAGCAGAAACUAGAUCCUAGUAAAUUGCAGCGAUUGACUGAAUACGUCUUCCAUCUUGAGCAUUGACACUUUCAAUCUUGUGAAGAAAUUGAACAAUUUAUUUUCUGAAGUCUUCCUUUUCAGUCUGAUAAAUCUUACUUUUUAUGUUCUUCAAAGUGCAUGUAAGUGUGUACAUUCAUUCCGUUUCAUAAUUUUGGAUUAUGUGAAAUUCGCCUAAUUAGCUCAUAGCCUCAGUAGUUACUGAGCAUGCCACUCUCUUGUAAUAGUGGAACAGAUAACUUGUAUAUUUGCUUAUUAUACUUGCUUUUGAGAAA